CCCACAAAUUUAUACUUACAUUAAUUUACAUGGUUUUUAAUAUUGAACAAAAUCGCAUAAGAGUUAAAAUGUUGAUCAAAUUGAAGCACCAAUUCACCAAAAAGUACAGUCUUUGUGAUAAAAGGAUGAAAUUUUGACAAAUAUUUCCGAGGUUUCAACUGAACACAGCUGUUGCUAAUGUACUUUGUGUUUUCCAAGAAGUCCAUCCCAGUUCUGAAUCAGACCCAGAGCUGCCACUCUCAAUAGCCUAUUUUCACCUAAGGCUAGUACUAAAAUCCCCUACUUUUCCCUACAAGUCAAUGUGUAA